CAUCAUCGGUGCACUGUGCUGAUGAGUUCCAAAAAGGGCGAAACAGCUGUCCACAGUUGCCGUUGUUUGAGCUU
rnacentral:hammerhead_ribozyme from 1 species